rnacentral:rRNA from 1 species
GAUGAACGCUGGCGGCGUGCCUAACACAUGCAAGUCGAACGAAGCACCUUACCUGAUUCUUCGGAUGAAAGUUUGGUGACUGAGUGGCGGACGGGUGAGUAACGCGUGGGUAACCUGCCCUGUACAGGGGGAUAACAGCUGGAAACGGCUGCUAAUACCGCAUAAGCGCACGAGGAGACAUCUCCUUGUGUGAAAAACUCCGGUGGUACAGGAUGGGCCCGCGUCUGAUUAGCUGGUUGGCAGGGUAACGGCCUACCAAGGCAACGAUCAGUAGCCGGUCUGAGAGGAUGAACGGACACAUUGGAACUGAGACACGGUCCAAACUCCUACGGGAGGCAGCAGUGGGGAAUAUUGCACAAUGGGGGAAACCCUGAUGCAGCAACGCCGCGUGAGUGAAGAAGUAUUUCGGUAUGUAAAGCUCUAUCAGAAGGGAAGAUAAUGACGGUACCUGACUAAGAAGCUCCGGCUAAAUACGUG